ACCGCUUCUCGGCCUUCUGGCUAAGAUCAAGUGUAGUAUCUGUGCUAUGAGAUAAAUAUCUGAUACGUUCUUUAUCCGGGGACCAUAUAUUAAAUUGUUUUUUGGAACAGGGAUGUGGGAUAGGGGCUUUCUCCGUCCACUCCACGCAUCGACCUGGUUUUGCAAUACCUCCAGGAAUGGUGCACCCCCC